UAUUUAAAAUAAUAUUGGAAGUUCUAGUCAGAGCAAUUACCCAAGAAAAGGAAGUAAGAUGCAUCCAAAUUGA